GGGUAUGUGGCUUAGCAGUAGAGUGCUUGCCUAUCAAGCAUAAGUCACUGGGUUUAAACCCCAGCAUACACA
rnacentral:tRNA from 1 species